GACGCCAUCAUAUAGCCAGGUUAGUAUGCGACACUUUCAAUGUCGCAACACGGGUUCAAAUCCCGUUGGCGUCA
rnacentral:tRNA from 1 species